CCAGACUCCUACGGGAGGCAGCAGUGAGGAAUAUUGGUCAAUGGGCGCGAGCCUGAACCAGCCAAGUCGCGUGAGGGAAGACGGUCCUAUGGAUUGUAAACCUCUUUUGUCGGGGAGCAAAAGACGCCACGCGUGGCGUUCCGAGAGUACCCGAAGAAAAAGCAUCGGCUAACUCCGUGCCAGCAGCCGCGGUAAUACGUAGGGGGCAAGCGUUAUCCGGAUUUACUGGGUGUAAAGGGAGCGUAGACGGCGUGUCAAGUCUGAUGUGAAAGGCCGGGGCUCAACCCCGGGACUGCAUUGGAAACUGGCAUGCUGGAGUGCCGGAGGGGCAAGCGGAAUUCCUAGUGUAGCGGUGAAAUGCGUAGAUAUUAGGAGGAACACCGGUGGCGAAGGCGGCUUGCUGGACGGUAACUGACGUUGAGGCUCGAAAGCGUGGGGAGCAAACAGGAUUAGAUACCCCAGUAU
rnacentral:rRNA from 1 species